CUACGGGAGGCUGCAGUGGGGAAUAUUGGACAAUGGGGGAAACCCUGAUCCAGCAAUGCCGCGUGUGUGAAGAAGGCCUGCGGGUUGUAAAGCACUUUCGGUUGGGAGGACUGCUUCUAGCACUAAUAUUGUUGGAAGUUGACGUCACCUUCAGAAGAAGCACCGGCUAACUCCGUGCCAGCAGCCGCGGUAAUACGGAGGUGCAAGCGUUAAUCGGAAUUACUGGGCGUAAAGCGCGCGUAGGCGGCUAGAUCAGUCGGGUGUGAAAGCCCCGGGCUUAACCUGGGAACUGCAUCCGAUACUGUCUAGCUUGAGUACAGGAGAGGAGAGUGGAAUUCCACAUGUAGCGGUGAAAUGCGUAGAUAUGUGGAGGAACACCAAUGGCGAAGGCAGCUCUCUGGCCUGAUACUGACGCUGAGGUGCGAAAGCGUGGGGAGCAAACAGGAUUAGAUACCCUAGUAGUC
rnacentral:rRNA from 1 species